rnacentral:sRNA from 12 species
AACGCCUGUCGCGGAUCUCCUCCCUUCCCCUGGAGCAGAUCCACCGGGGCCGGACUCCUCCCCAAGUCCGGCUCCCCGCCCCGCCCGGCUCCCCCUGCCCGGCGGGGCUUUUUU